rnacentral:tRNA from 1 species
UCUUCCGUAGUAUAGUGGUCAGUAUGUGAGCUUGUCAUCGGAUCCACAAGCCCAGACAUCGCUCGAGACCCGGGUUCAAUUCCCGGCGGGAGAG